GGAGCCGGACGGGUCAGCGCUGCGGGGGCAACCCCGGAGAGGAAAGUCCGGGCUCCACAGGGCGGAACGCUGGGUAACUCCCAGGGAGAGCGAUCUCCGGAAAGCGCAACAGAAAGCAGACCGCCGUUUCUUUUAAACCGGAAACGGCAAGGGUGAAACGGUGGAGUAAGAGCCCACCGGUUGCCGCGGCGACGCGGCAAGCCAGGCAAACCCCGUUCGGAGCAAGACCAAAUAGGGGAGCGACAGGCCGGCCCGGCCUGCUCCCGGGUAGGUUGCUUGAGGCCGCGGGCAAUCGCGGUCCUAGAGAAAUGCUGGCCUCCCCCGCAAGGGGCGACAGAACCCGGCUUAUAGUCCGGCUCCCGUU
rnacentral:RNase_P_RNA from 1 species